UCCCCUAUCACAAGCUGCUCUCAUAGCCACACUUAAACCCUCCAUUUCAAUGAUGAAGAGGAAUUGGGAGAGUGGGUCACCUUGUUUGACUCCUCUCUAGAUGGGGAAUUCGUCAGUGGGGUUCCCAUUAACAAGAACGGAUGAUUUUGAAGAGGCCAAGCAACCGUUGAUCCAACAUCUCCAUUUAUCUCCAAAUCCCAUGGCUUUCAUGUUUGAAUCUAGGAAUUCCCAAUUAAUCAAAUCAAAGGCUUUGUUGAAAUCGACUUUGAAGAGUAAAACAUUCUUUUUUUUUUUUCCUUUUUUGCCCAUGAACAAUUUCAUUAACCACCAAUGGACCAUCGAGUAUGUUUCGGCCCUCCACGUACGCAGAUUGUACCACGUCAAUACAACUUCCUAAUACCCUCUUGAGCUGAUGAACAAGUAUUUUUGCUAUGAUUUUGUAAAUAGAACCGAUUAGACUUAUCGGUCGGUAAUUUCUAAGAAUGAGAGGGUCUUUGAUUUUGGGGAUUAGAGAGAUGAAGGAGGAUUUGCAAGAAAUAUCAAGUUUUCCGUAUCUCUCGAAGUGUUUGGCCACCGCAACAAUGUCGCCAAAUACAACAUCCCAAUCUUUUUUUGAAAAACUUAAAUGAGAAUCCGUCUGGGCCAGGAGCUUUCUCGUUUCCACACGCCCAUACAGCAACUUUAAGUUCUUCCAAAGUGAUCGUGGCUUCCAACACAUCAUUGUCGAUAGGUAGAAUGCGUUUGAAUUGGCUGCUAACCAACUUGGGUCUAGAAAGCCACUUCUCCUUGAAUUUAUCUGUAAAAAAGUUGAAAGCUUCCGACUUUAUUAACACCGGAUCUGUACACCAAGUGUCGUUGAUCAUAAGGCCAUCAAUCCCAUUUUUCUGAUUAUUAUGAUUGACAUGACCAUGAAAAAAACGGGUGUUUUCAUCCCCGUCGACCGCCCACUUUACCCUUGAUAUUUGUUUGAUAUCAAGGACUCUGAAUUUCUCCAGCUCUGCAAUAGAUUUGAAACUGUCUCGCCUUGAGUCAAUUUCUUGUGGUGUAAGAAGUCUAGAUUCUGCCUCAUGAUCCAAAUGUGCCACAAUUUGUUUGUGUUUGGAAAGUUCCAACUCUUCUUUAGGAUGAUCUAAAGCUCUCCAUGCCUUCAGACCCUCUUUCACGUGUUUCAAUUUUGCAUUUAAAUGUUGAUCUGGUGUUCCAUACCCCUGAAAGUUGUCCCAAUCCGUGAUGAACGCCCUUUCAAAUCCAUCUCUGAGCAGCCAUGAGUUGAAAAGAGUGAACGGUGGAGGUCCAAAAUCAGACCUAACUGUGGAUAGCAGAAUCGGACAAUGGUCAGAUAGUUCACGGGGAAGAGCUGUGACAGUGGCGGUCGGGGCAAUGUCAAGAAAGCAUGGACUAAGAAGAAAAUGGUCAAGUUUACUGAGUUUAAGAUCUUCAUUUCUAAAACACGUGAAACGAGUUUAUUAAUCUUAUAUUUUGAAAUCAUUUAUGUAAUUUUCUUUUACAUAGCUUUAAUUUCUAACAUUUUUAUGAAAAAUCUAAGUUUCAUAUUAGGCAGAGCCUUUACAUAGAGAUUGUUUCUAUAAUAUUAGGGAACAUAGGACCAAUUAUGUAGUUUUCUUAUUAGACGGAGACCAUGUUUUUAAAAUUUUAAAACAUAAAUACCGUAUUUGUAAUUUUAGGAACUAUUUCUGUACUUUUGUAAAUACAUGGACCUUUUCUGUAAGUUUACUAUUAAACAGAGACCAUUUUUAUAAUCUAUAAAAUAUAAGGACCAACUUUGUAAUUUCCGUAUGAAAGCAGGGAUAGUUUAUGUAAACUUGACACAGGUGUGUAAAGUUACAUAAACAAUACUUGAUGGACUCAAAUUGUAACUCAUACAGAAACUAGAAAUUACCCUCCGUUGAACUCUUUCCCCAAGAAACACACACUAUUACACAUUGCUGGGAGGUUCAAAUUAGAACUCAGAAAACCAGUUUUUAUGAUUUUCUGUAUAAAUCCUUAGUGGGUAUUUCUUCAAUUAUUCUGGAAAAAACUGUUCUUUACUCGCAUUGAUCAUCGAUUCAUCGGGUCGAACUAUUAAUCAGCAACAUGGCAUACAUAACAAGCUCCACAGAAGUGUACUUGAUGCAGUUAAUUACGUAAACGCCCAUGGAAACCGGACGCCCAUUACGAAGAUUAUGUCGAGUUUAAAUCCAAAGACUGCUUAUUUUGGUCAUAAGCCUUGUGGUUGUUCUCAUAGUUCUAGCUCAAUUACUCGCGAUCCCAUAUAAGAACGACACAUCCAUUCUAUCACCUGUGUCACCAAGGGUAUUUUGGUCCACAAAGUGUCUAUUUACGAUAACGCCUCUAUUACACGCGAGGGAGUGGUUCUAAAUGAGUCGAAAAUAGAAGAAGGGUGCAAAGGGUAUGAUUGUAAUUCCGAAUCCUUAGUCUCAAAAAUUGUAGCCAAAGUAAAUGAUUUGGGUCAAAAUGUUACCAUUACUUCACAACCAACACGACUUUCUUACAUGAUUUCGGUUCUUGAAUCGGUUCGUUUCAAUGUACUCACUCAUUAUUAUGUUUUUGUUUUCCAAA